UACGUAGGGUGCAAACGUUGUCCGGAAUUAUUGGGCGUAAAGAGCUCGUAGGCGGUCUGUCGCGUCUGCUGUGAAAACUCAGGGCUUAACCCUGAGCUUGCAGUGGGUACGGGCAGACUAGAGUGCGGUAGGGGGAGACUGGAAUUCCUGGUGUAGCGGUGAAAUGCGCAGAUAUCAAGAGGAACACCUGCGGCGAAGGCGGGUUGCUGGGCCGACACUGA
rnacentral:rRNA from 1 species